AAGUCGUAACAAGGUUUCCGUAGGUGAACCUGCGGAAGGAUCAUUAACAAAUCAUUUGUAGACUCUGGACGUUAAACUCCAGACGACACAUAAACCCGAACCUGUGCAGCAAUGCCAGGCAAGGUGUACGGUUUCGGCCGUACGGGAAAAGGUCUUGCUCCUCGGAGUGGGAUUGGACCCCAAAUAGACGCUUGUAUGUUUGACAGAGUUUAGUUGACACUUUAAAAAUGACAACUUUUAACAAUGGAUCUCUUGGCUCUU
rnacentral:misc_RNA from 1 species